rnacentral:rRNA from 1 species
AUUGAACGCUGGCGGCAUGCCUAACACAUGCAAGUCGAACGGCAGCACGGUCUAGCUUGCUAGAUGGGUGGCGAGUGGCGCACGGGUGAGUAACGCGUAGGAAUAUGCCUUGAAGUGGGGGAUAACUUGGGGAAACUCAAGCUAAUACCGCAUAAGCUCUUAGGAGGAAAGCUGGGGACCGUAAGGCCUGGCGCUUCAAGAUUAGCCUGCGUCCGAUUAGCCAGUUGGUGGGGUAAGGGCCUACCAAGGCGACGAUCGGUAGCUGGUCUGGGAGGAUUGCCAGCCACACUGGGACUGAGACACGGCCCAGACUCCUACGGGAGGCAGCAGUGGGGAAUAUUGGACAAUGGGGGCAACCCUGAUCCAGCAAUGCCGCGUGUGUGAAGAAGGCCUGAGGGUUGUAAAGCACUUUCAGUGGGGAGGAGGAUUGACAGGUUAAGAGCUAGUUAAUUGGACGUUACCCACAGAAGAAGCACCGGCUAACUCCGUGCCAGCCGCCGCGGUAA